GGGUUGUGAGGUUAAGUGACUAAGCGUACACGGUGGAUGCCUAGGCAGUCAGAGGCGAUGAAGGGCGUGCUAAUCUGCGAAAAGCGUCGGUAAGGUGAUAUGAACCGUUACAACCGGCGAUACCCCAAUGGGGAAACCCAGUGUGUUGCGACCCACUAUCAUGUCAUGAAUACAUAGUGGCAUGAGGCGAACCAGGGGAACUGAAACAUCUAAGUACCCCGAGGAAAAGAAAUCAACCGAGAUUCCCCCAGUAGCGGCGAGCGAACGGGGAGGAGCCCAGAACCUGAAUCGGCU
rnacentral:rRNA from 1 species